UCCAGACUCCUACGGGAGGCAGCAGUGGGGUAUAUUGCACAAUGGGGUCACCCCUGAUGCCGCGCCGCCGCGUGGGUGAAGAAGCGCCUCGGCGCGUAAAGCCCUUUCAGCAGGGCCGCACAUGACGGUCCCUGAAGAAGAAGCCCCGGCUAACUACGUGCCCGCAGCCGCGGUCCUACGUAGGGGGCACGCGUUAUCCGGCAUUACUGGGUGUCAAGGGGGCGCAGACGGCGAUGCAAGCCAGGAGUGAAAGCCCGGGGCCCAACCCCGGGACUGCUCGUGGAACUGCGUGGCUGGAGUGCAGGAGGGGCAGGCGGAAUUCCUGGUGUAGCGGUGAACUGCGUAGAUAUCAGGAGGAACACCGGUGGCGAAGGCGGCCUGCUGGAAUGCAACUGACGUUGAGGCCCGAAAGCGUGGGGAGCAAACAGGAUUAGAUACCCCAGUA
rnacentral:rRNA from 1 species